rnacentral:siRNA from 1 species
UGUGUGAUAAAUGUGUGUUA